rnacentral:lncRNA from 1 species
CUCCCCCCCAACUUGACUAAUUAUCUUUCUAAAAAAUUCUUACAAAAUAAAAAAAACUGGAUAACUGAAAAUAAAAUGUUAGGUUGUCUCCCAACAAACGCUAAGUUUAAGAUCUUCAACCAGACCAAACCAAAGUUCAAUUAUAAACUAGAUCCUACAAUUCAAUUGAGCAAACUUGCUUGCCAUCUCUGAUUUCAUC